UACGUAGGGUGCAAGCGUUGUCCGGAAUUAUUGGGCGUAAAGAGCUCGUAGGCGGUCUGUUGCGUCGGCUGUGAAAACCCGGGGCUCAACUCCGGGCCUGCAGCCGAUACGGGCAGACUAGAGUGAUGUAGGGGAGACUGGAAUUCCUGGUGUAGCGGUGAAAUGCGCAGAUAUCAGGAGGAACACCGAUGGCGAAGGCAGGUCUCUGGGCAUUAACUGACGCUGAGACGCGAAGGCCAGGGGAGCAAACGGG
rnacentral:rRNA from 1 species